GUUUUCCUGGGGGGGGGGGGGGGGAAUAAGAAAUAAAAGAGGAUUAUAAUGAUCCUUAAAUGGGGUCAGACCUUCACAGGAUGUCCUUACACAUUUAUGUUCAAGCUCAACCACCUUUAUCUAAUUUUCUGGAGGUCCAUAGAGGGACUACGGGACAAAAGCAUAAUUCACAUAUAAAAACUGUUCUGUACGUUAUUGCUGAAAAUUAAACACAAGAAUAGCCACACUGGGUCAUACCAAGCACAGGAUCCUCACUUCAAAUGUGGCUUGUGGCUUGUGGCUGAUACCUAAUGCAGGCAUGUAACAGACAUAUAUGACAUGAUUCCUCCCUGGUAUAUCCUUCAAGCUUUCAACAGCAAAUGGUUAACAGAGUUUCUGAUCACAGAUCCGCCAUGUUUAAUAUGUAAUAAUGAGACUGGCCUCCCUGCAUUUGCCUGGUUGUACUCCAUGUGUUUACAGAAUGGACAACCAAAGUGCACAUGGUGUUAAAAAUCUGGGCCUGUCACUCUCAUAUAUAUAGGCAUCACCUUCCACAUUUCAUCCUAUAUUCCUUUCCUAAUAAUACUUAACAUUCCAUUUGUCCUUGAACCCCGAGCUGAAAUUUUCCAAGGUUCUCCACGAUCACUCCCAGCUCUUUCUUCCCAAAUAGUUACUAUAUAAUUGCAUCUAGUUUAGAGCUCAUCACAAUGCAUAUGUUUUCAUUACAUUUCUUCUGAAAUAUGCUUUGGUCUCUCUUCUAAUAUGAUUCUACAUUUAAUUUGCUACAGUUUCUGGAAAGAAGCCUUUUCAAUAACUACUCCUGUUACAGUGGCACAAUUUCUGCUAUUUUGAAGGAUGUUUUCUUUCUGCCCUUUUACUCUGCUAUUACCCACUCAAGCCUAAGGUACAUGGAGGACUUCAGGGUACAGCAAAGUCACAUGGCUGGCAGAAUAGGUGGUCCAACCUGCCCUUAAAUGACUGAUCCCCACUGUCUGGCCAGGACACCAAGAAGGAAGGACAUGAGUCAUUUGUUUGCUUUGCACUGAGAAAAAUUUAUCAGAUGACACUACAGACUGAUAAGCUGCAGCCUCUUCUCUGUCUCCUGGGUAAAACCCAGCUGCUCUCGCAAUCAUUUACAGACAACAUGAAUAGACUUUUUGUUUGAUUCAAGAUUCCAUUUAAUAAAUAAAUCAGCUAUUAGAUGUUCCAGUUUACAUUAAGGUUUUGUGUGUCUCCUGAAGUAACCCUUGAAUUCAGCAUGCUCACAGCCACAUAAGAAGGUGGCAGUCCUCUAACUGAGGCUGAACCACCAUCCCAGAAGCUGCAACUGGGAGUCCCCAGAGUAGGUGUGGUACCUCCCAGUAAGCACAAAGUGAGAGUCAGGAAUGAAUCCCCUCUUUUCUCCAGCAAAAGGGAAGUGAUUACAUUUCCCAGGCUGUCCCAUGAGCAAGUUGGGUCACACUUGCACUGAAUGAACAAACCUAACAAAACCUCCUCUUGUACCUGGCAUCCUCUGGUGACUCUGCGACAAUGUGAUAAACUCUGUCUUCUGUCACGAUGUCCAAGGCAUUCUCCUUUUCAUGAAUGUCCACAAUCUCUCUGUAACACAGCAAAUCACAAGAGUCAAGCCCAAAAACCUUUCACAGGCAUGAAUUCCAUCUGGCCAACUUUUUUUUCCACAUUGUUACCAUUCAACAUAGAGAAGAGAAAGCACUGAUUCAGAUGGCUUAUAACCCCAACAGAAACACAUUUUUAUCAACAUACAUUAAGGAUUUUAGGAUCUCCUUAAAAAGAUUUGUGCUGUUAAUCUACUACAAAAGCAAAGCUUAAGGUGUUAAAUGGUUUUUCAAGACACCAGCAGACUACAGGAUUACAUGGAAGAAGAGAUAACAAGGAAGUUGAUACAGAGGGUGGUUUACAAGUAGGAUGUGCCACACUUUUCGGCACUUUACAGGACCACAUAAUGCUAACAGAUGACUAGUCUCUCCUUUCCUACAACAGGAGCUGAGAAAUUGGCUAAAGCAGCAAAAAGAGCAUCCGGGACUCAGGAAAAAGCAUAGUACAUGUUGCCAAAUUCAGAUCCCACUGUGAGCUUCAUACCACCUCUGUGAAUGCCUGGAGAUGCCAGGAAACAGAUGGAGUCAGGGUAGGGGAGAAUGCAUGGGGUAUGUACUUAAUUAGACCCUCCUGUUCUGGCUCCUUCCAUGGAGCUUGGAAAGAGCUCCUGCUGAAUUAUGAAAUGCAAGUCUGGAAAAAGAACUACCAAGUAAUUCCAGACUCCCUCCAGAAUAAAACUACAAGUUCUAAUUGUC